GUAAUACAAGAUAGAGAAAGAAAAGAAGGACUACAAGCCUAGGAAGAGUUUUUGUUAGAUUGGCAGAGCAUGUCCAGGCGGUAGUGGAGACUCAUCAACAGAAACUUGCAAUCAAAAUGGAGUUCAGCAGACAAGGGCCAGCAACAUAACAGAGCUUCACAUGGCCAGUGGAUUAUGCAAUCCUGAAGACUUUAGCAAAAGAGAGCUGAUGUCACAAUAUCAGAUCAAGCUCGCCACUGAUAACUGUAAAUUAUAAACAACAGAACAAAGCAUAAGCCUACUUGACGACACUGAAGAAUGAACAAAAACAGGAACAAUUGACAAUUGGAAGAAAGAAAAAACAAACAACACUGGAUAUGUUUUCAAGAUUUUAAUUUGAGAAUAAGACCCAACCUGUACCAUGCAAAGCAACUAAAAUUCAAAGAAAAAUCUUCAGUUUUGGUGGCAUGAAUAUCCUGAGGGUAAACUUCAUGGGAACCACAAUUAUUGAAUAUUGAGGUGAGAAACUCUAGAGGAAAAUGUUAAGAGAAAGAGAAAGAGACAGAAUUAGAUAAAGGGAACUGAGAUUAAAUGUAUAAACUCUGUCCAAAUAUCUGCUGAAACAGGAGCCAUGAUUUCAUGAGGCAAACUCCAGGAGGCAAUUUGUAACAAAGCUCUAGUAUAAUGUAUCUUUUACACUUUCUACAGUGUAGAUUUGCUGUGAGGAUGAAAUAAGCUAAAUUAAAAAAAAAUAAUUUAAAUGUAUGGAUCACGAAAUUAGUGUUGUGAAGAAAUUAUGGUGAAGGAGAGAAAAUAAAACAAAAUAGAAAAAGGACAAAAGGAAGAGAAAAAACAGGUGAAUGAAGAGAAGAUGAAAAAAGAAACAGGAAGAAGAGAAAGAAAAAUUUAAAAAAUUAACUUUUUGGCAAGUGUUUAGAACUCUUGUCUUUAAUGAUAAGAUGAAUAUAAACUUCCUUUCAUUUUCAUUUUAAACUUGGCUUUUGAGUGUUUGGUUAUUGGAAACAUAAUUUGAAAUUCAAGACUGAAUUGUGCCCUCCCCUACUCUUAUGCUAAAGCCCC
rnacentral:lncRNA from 1 species